GGGGUGGUGAUUUAAGGGCUGGGGCAGGGGUCUGUGGGGCUGGGCUGGGUCAAGGACAAGUGGCCCAGAGCUCAGCCUCAAGCUGCUGGCUGCCCAGGGAGACAGGCUCCUGCUGCUAACUCCCUGGGGCACAAGGAAGGGUAAUGGGACAUUCUUUGGGGUGUGGGCUCCCUCCAAGGUGGGGGUGUCUCCCGAGGGGCAGGGUCUUUACUGAGGGGUCCCUGUUGAGAAGAUGAGUCUGAACCCUGGCCAGCCCGGUCCCCCAGGGGCCGUGCCCCCUGGGGUCCUGUGGCCCCUGGCUCUUGGCCCUCAUGCCUCAGCCCUGUGGGUCCAGGCUGGCACACCUGACUCUUCUCACCCCCAUUUGUGGGAGGCACCUGCUCCGUGGGACUGUGGAGCACACCCAGAGCUCCAGGCCUGGGUCAGGGUGAGGAUACUGGGUCCUGGGGCUGACGAGCCCCAAGGUGCUCACCAACCCAUGAAAAGAGACCUUGACCUGUGAGGGCUUCUGGCAGACACCGCAAAGCAACCUCAGCCCUGAGGGGCCUGGGACCCUGACCCCUGGCCUCAGCCCUGGCUGUCAGCUGCACUGUGAGGGCUGGAGCAGGGCAGGCAGCUGGUGAGCCUGGCAGGGAGAGCAGGUGGGCACAGCCUGCAGCCACCCUCCCCGAGGGCCAGACCACAGACCACGCAGAGUGCGCCACUCCUGAGGUGGGCCCGGCACACACCAGAGCUCCAGAACAGUUGGCUCAAAGGGUGGCAUUCAAAAAGAGACAAGCUUUCAGUUUUUUAUCUCAUUGAACUGGAAAGAACAGACCAGAGAAAUAUCUGGCAUUGCUCUGGGGUCUGAGCCAAGGAGUCUUUGUGACAAUGCUGCCUGUCUUGUGUGCCUGAGCCCGGCAACUUAAGGCAGGGGAGUUUCAGCCAGAAUUCUGGAAAGUUCUCCACGUCUCUGAAUUGGCUCCACAUGCCAUAUCCAGUUAUUUCCAGUUGAGAUGAUAAAGGGAAAGAAUCAGAAGCUGUUGCCCUAGCCAUGGCCUAUAGAGCCAGCACCAGCUCCACGGAACAGGAGAGACACAGGCAACCCUCCCCCAGCACACCUCGGAAACGGAAAACCAAUGAAGAUGGAAACCAGGAAAGACAGCGCCAGUGACUUAAAACUAAGGAAUCUGUGACACCACAGGAACAAACGGGACAGUCCAAGGGGUUCCAGACCUUCAAUUCUAUGACAGUGCAUGCUGUUCUUUGAUAACUGUAGUGAAAAGUAGAGUGACCAGGUCCAGGCACAGUGGCCAUGCUUAUCAUCCCAGCCACUCGGGAGUCAGAGCAGGAGGGUCACAAGUUCAGGGCCCUCCUGGGCCACUCAGGAAGACCCGGUCCCAAAAUAAAAGGUCUGGAGUGCAGCUCAGUGGUAGAGCAGCCCUGAACUCAACUGCCAGUCCUGAAAAAGAGAGAGAGAAGAGGGAGGGGAGAAGCACGUAGUGACCCUUUAUCAGAUCUUGAAACUUGGCCAAAUGGUGCUUACCAGCUUCUACAGGUUGAAAAUGAAGAGGAAUUUCUCAAACAAAACUGAUUAAAUAGGGCCACUCUCCCGGGCGUGGUGGAGGUGAAACAUAAGCGUAUCACUUAGCUAUUGUAGCUCAGCCAGCUGCAGCUGUUGCAGACACCCCAUGUCAGUAUUAUAAGGGCUGGAAGACAGGCUGGGGUUUUUUUUGUUGUUGUUUUUCCAGAGCUAGGGACAAAACCCAGGGCCCACGCAGGCUCGACUACCAUUGAGCCAUACCCCAGCACUUUUCAUUUUCUGUUUGGGGACGUGGUCUCACUAAGUUGCCCAGGCUUGGCCUCAAUCCUGGAUCCUCCUGCCUCCUCAGUCUUCUGAGUUGCUGCGGUGACAGGCGUAGACAUUGCGCCUGGCAGCGGGAGAUGAUUGUAGUGUAGCAGUUGUCAGUUCCUCAGAAGUUGAGAGAAUCCAGCCCCAGGAACAUCACAGGCAUGAAGACAAGUGUCCUCGACCCGUGGGCUGCCGGGACCCAGCCUCUGGCUCAGCAGAGAGAACAGAGUGUUGGCAGGGCUCAGGCGCACGGCUGCCACUGUGCGCUCCCAGGCGAGAAGCCAAGACCAUGCCCAGGAGCUCCACAGGUGACCUGGGCAAGUUCCCUGCACCCCCGUGGCUCUCGCAUCCCUCCUCGCUGGAGAAGUCGGGCCUCCCUUCACUUACCCUGCGCUCGCUUUUUUGGGUGAAUUCUGUCCUUCCUUAUUGAUUUAUGGGAGUUCUGUGUGUAUUCUGGGUGUACUUAAGACUCUAAGAUUUUUCCCUCAGCCUUCAUUUUGAUUUGUCCCAAUCUGUCAAUUCUGGCCAGAGCUCUGGUCAUGCACACCCCAGGCUGCAAAAAUUUUGCUUUAUCUUCUGU